rnacentral:lncRNA from 1 species
GGUGGAGGAGGAAGACAUUAAUAAGAGCAAUCACUGCAAUAAAUUUUUGUUAUGAGUUGCUAAAAUGGUGAAAUGCUGCUCCGCCAUUGGAUGUGCUUCUCGCUGCUUGCCAAAUUCGAAGUUAAAAGGACUGACAUUUCACGUAUUCCCCACAGAUGAAAACAUCAAAAGGAAAUGGGUAUUAGCAAUGAAAAGACUUGAUGUGAAUGCAGCCGGCAUUUGGGAGCCUAAAAAAGGAGAUGUGUUGUGUUCGAGGCACUUUAAGAAGACAGAUUUUGACAGAAGUGCUCCAAAUAUUAAACUGAAACCUGGAGUCAUACCUUCUAUCUUUGAUUCUCCAUAUCACCUACAGGUUUGUUUAUGAGAUACUGUUUACCAUCAUUGC